GCACUAACCUGCCUGGGAAGGCUCCAUGAUCGUGAAGAUGGUUCACCCAGGGUGAGGCUUAGCCAUUGCACAUGGGCUAUGGUGACCUCUGUGAAUUCCCCAAAUGUGGGAAUCUUGACUGCAGAACUUGUGGUAGUGGGAGACUGCGUUCGUGCUCUCACCUG